GUCAGUCUUUCCCUGCACCCCCACCACUGUUGAGCUUAGUCGUAUGAUUGUUUCUGGCCAAUGGGAUAAUAGCAAAUGAGGUGCAAACACAGGCCUGACGAGUGCUUGCGCAUUGCGCAUGCCAUUUCUUUCUGACAGGAAUCAUUCCGCCACAAGCGAACGAGCCUGGGCUGGCCUUGUGGAAGCCUAGCCGAGGCCUCAGAAUAUGGAUGAGAUCAUCUGAGACCAUCCACCCCAGGAAGCCAGCAAAGUGGCUAGAACCCGCCAUACCACCGCAGAAUCACGAUUGCUGUUCUGAGUCACUACAUUUCAGGUGACUUGUUGAGCAGCAAACGAGCUGACGAACCUAAAGUCAGAAGAUGCUAGCGGAAGAAACAGGACCCAGAACUCCAUUGGAAAAUGGGUGAGUAUUUUACCGGGUAUACAGACUUCGAGGAUGCCAGACAAAAAGAUCAUUUGAAAUAUUGUUGUCACUAAGCCUUCUUUGAUCAAGACACCAUGAGCUCAUGGGCUAAUGGAAGCACGACAGUGAGCAAG
rnacentral:lncRNA from 10 species